CCAAUUGUAGACCUACCUGACUGUGGGUCUUUCACAAAGUUGUGGACAUGUUGGGGAUGGGCACUGACUCUGAAACACCUUUGCAAUUGUGGCAGCUAACUCUCUGCACAAUAGAGUGCUGGAUUUCAACAGGUAAGUGCUGUUGGAACAAACUCGAUCAGAGUCAGGCAUUCAGAGAAGUUGACAUCACUGUGUUCUUUUCAUCAUAAUUAGGUAAAGGUGUAACUUCCAGAUCCAUUUUCACAAAACUGAAGCGAUUCAUUAUGAUUUCAUUCUUCCCAAGGGAAGAAGGAGUGCUGCUGUCCACAUGGAGAAUACGGCACGGCCUUAUUGAGAAUGAUGCCUCCGUAAGCAACACACAGCAUUUACAAGAAGUAUUUUGAAGUCCAGCGUCUAAGUGGUUGUGACUCGGGAUUUCCUGAAAGAUGGAGAUUUCCUGGAAACAUUUCUUCUUCGGUGGCAGUGACAGCUAGCUGUCUGCCCAAGAGUCACGUGUUCCUCCCCUGUUGACUCUGCUGGAGAGAGACUGCUGACCAGACAGCAUCGGGAAUUCACAGGAGUGAAAGGAGAGCCGUGUGUCACCUCUGGACCAGGACUCUGAUAGGAAUGCAGUUCAUCCACGGCAUGUAACAAAACACUGAGUCAACUCUGCCAUGAACCUGGUCCACGAUUCCUGCCACAAGGUCGCUAAGUGUGAACUGAGAGAGAUGUAUCAGUGCAAAAGAGGAAAUUGGGGCCCAGAGAAGACCCUAUGAAGACACGAGAAGAACCAGGAGGAAGCCAACCUUCUGACACCUGGAGCGUGGACUAAGAGCCUCCAGAACUCAACAGGGAAUCCCUAGGAGAACGUGACCUUUCAAGGAGAAGAGCCAUCGUUGGAACAUCCUCACUCCUUGAAGUCUGAAGCUUAGGAUGUUGCUGAGGGUGAAGGGAAGAAGACACAGCAGAGGAAAAAAAGAAGACCAUGUGAGAGACAGCCAUAAACCCGAGGUAACAAACUGUAAUAGAGCUGCCUCUUCUUUUAUCAAACCCAGUGGAAGUCCAUGGAGUGAAUGCUGAAGUCAAUGAACUUUCUGUUUGGAAACUGCUUUUGCAGUUUGCCCUGUUUUAUUGAUGUGUCUCCUGACUUGGAAAUUUCACAAUUCUGGGUUCUUUUCCUAGCAACAUUCUCCUUAUAAUCUCCAAAUUAUUUCAUCCACUUUAAUGUUUAGCUGUGAUUAUCCAGUCCUAUUUGGUUUUCCUCCAAUUAGCAGUUCAGGAGACCUAUCACAGUGAUGUGUGCAAAAAAUACACCAUAGAUUAACGAUGAAAAUAGAAGAACUCUCACACCUUCUAAUACAUAGCAGUGCUCCUGCAUGGUAGACCAAUGGCAGCUUUACAGUCAAGUUUAAUACUUAAACUAGACCAUCAAAUUACCUUAGAAUUAGAGCUCAGAUUUAGUUAACAUGUUCUAUUUUUGGAGGAAGAGAUUAAUAAACUGAGUGGCUGCCAAUAAACUUUUGUAAAAAUAUAUUUAUUUCUGAUCUUAAUUCUUAUAUUUCUGACCUUAAUUCUGCUUGAGAAAUUUCACCAUACAACAAACCUCAACCCCAAAUUAUCUUUAGCGGUAAAACACAAUGGGUGGUUGGAUCAAUAUCAGCAUGGCUACAGAGCCUGCAAUUUUUCUCCUUUUCCAUGACACAGCUGCAAAUAAGGUCAGGGCACAGCGUCUCACCUUCCCAACUAGCAGGUCCAUAGGCAAUAGGAUUAUUUUAACCGUGAUCUUAAGAACCAACAAUCAAAAUGACAAAUCCUCACAUUAUUUGACCGUGUUUACAACGAAGUCAGACAUUCCUUGUUAACACGGGGAGGCCACCCCGCGUUCUAGGCGCUGUUUGUGAAUCUGUCCACCUGAUUAGUUUGUGUUCUCUGUAAUAACCCUGAUAGCACUGAACAUAUGUUGUGGGCAAAAGCUGUCAAGCAAAAAAGCCUGAGUUAUUGCCAUUCAUCUCUGUCGCCUUUCAUACACACACUUCUCCGGUUACUGGAUAAGGCGGUGAAAGAUUUGGAUUACGAUACUCUUCGUAUUUUCACAUGUAAUAAAAAUAGUGUGAUGAAUUUGAAAUGACUAGAAGGAAGUCAGAAAAAACGGCCACUCAUUUUGCUCCAUUUAAAUUCAUAGCCUAGAACACUAUGGCUAAUAAUUAGCUGUAGCUAAUGAAACAAAGCACAUGUAAUUGACAAGAGUGCACCAGAGAGGCACACUCCAUCAUUUUCAGAUACAGUACAUUGCAUAUGACAGAAUUUUUAGAAAAAAGAGAAAGCUUGAACCAGGCAGAAUCUCCAAAGAAAAGGAGAAAAUGGAAAAAAAUAACAAAAACCUGCUUCCUUUUUAGACACACAUAGAAGCGUUCUGUAGGGUAUGUGAGUUUUAAAUGUGCCUGACAUUUUUAUUAAUGUGCUGCAGUCAGUGUUUACCUAAGUGAGCUCGUUCUGCAGAAGCUUUUGUUGGGAGUUCUCCGUGAACACAUGUUUUAUCUUUGAAUUUUACAAUCUGACAAAUACAAAUGUUCAGCAGAGCGUGUGGUGCGCUCAGUUACUCACGCACAACAGCGAGUCACCUGGGGCUGCUGGGUUCUCCUCCAGCUGGUUUGCAGUCAAUUGAUUACAGUCAUUUCCUAAGCAUUAUGAACUGCACUUUAAGCAUGUGCUCUUACGUGUCUUCAUUUGACUUUGGGAAAAUUCCACUAGAUUAGAGGAACAGCGUAGAGUCUCAUUAUAAGCAUGAGACGGGCCUCAUUAAAGGGCUGGGGUGUUGUUAUUCAAGUCAUGUCCACACUUCAUUAGAAGCUGUAUUCUGAAUAACUUACUCGUAUCAACGGUGACGUCGUAUCAUCUGAAACCAAAUGUCAGUGCUGAGCACAGAAUCGCAGGGAUACUUGUCCCCCUCUGUAGGUCACCUGCAGAAACAAAAUCAUCUACAGAAAUGAUUUCAGAUAAUGUAAUAAUCACCCUCCUAAAACAUGAUUCUCUAUUAACUACACAGGUCUCCUUAAACGUGCAUUUUACAAUGCAAAGUCCGUUUUGAAUAUGGAAUACUAUGGAAAUAUUGGGAUACUAAAAUAUGCCUCUUAGUAUUUCAGAAAGUAUGAAAAUGAUAGCAGAGAUAUUUUUCCCUUUAACCUGCCUUGCAACAGGGGAAAAAGACAAACCCCCAAAAAGGAUAACCCAAAACAAAGAAACCCCGGCACGGCGUUCAGUAUGUACAAAAGAACACAGACUUAAGCUGGGAACAAGCCUGCAGAACCUUUUGAUUUCACAAGCUGACGGACUAGAAGAGACAGAAUGUUGAACAAGGCAAUUGCAGCCUCCUCGGGUCAGCAGGCACCUGUUUCACAGAGCUGCGCACCAAUGUCUGCAACGAAUCUUUGUUCCCGUCCUUCUCUUUCAUCUGCUGUCUUGCAGCAAGGAGUGUCUGAAAGGACGCUGGCUGAAACAGAUGGAGUGCUCUUCCUGCCAGCGUCCCUGACCUGAGUCUCGUAGCGAGGCGUCCUGCUAAAGAUGCUAUUUCUGUUCAGUGGUGAUUUUAAUUGCUUAUCUUGUUCCAGUGCUGGGUGGACUUAAUCAGUGUGUCUUUUAAAAAUAGCUGCACAAAUGGAUUAUUUACUGUAGUCUUUUAAUGAUUACACUUAAUGAAUACCAUCACAUGCCAAGAAACUCGCAUAGGUCAGCACAUCUAAGAAAUCAUUCUGACAUUAUUACAUUUAUAAACAUAAAAUAAAGCGCUGUACAAUUAGAUUUAGCUCCUCCAUGUGAGAAAUAAUACAUUUACAUCCCAUGUUGUGUUAAGUGAUUUUCAAGUAUUUUUAAAAUUAUAAGCUCUGUAGACUGAUGUAUAUUCUUCUUUAUCUGAGCUCAGUUCUGUCUGUCUUCUGAGUAUAUUUUCACCUCAAAAAUGAACAUGUGAUAAUGAUCAUAUGAGACCACUCGAUCUCCGUUGACCCCUGGCUUUAAGGCUUGAGCAACUUGCAUUCAAGAUUUUUUAUGACACGGACAACAGAUUUAGGGAAGGCAUCUGAGAGAAACCGAGGGUCGUGGCGGAGUCUGGUUCUGGGAGGACCGUGAGAAGCACGGUGUCAGGACGAUGGAGACCACCGCGGGAGCUGGAAGAGAGGUUGUCCCCACUGUGCGGAGAGCAGCAGCCUGAGGAGCAAGACGCAAUGCCACCUGCAGGAAAGGGAGCAAGGCCGACGUGGGUGGGAGCAGCACAGCUCGUGUCCUGAGCAGUCCCCAGGCUGAACCUCCAGCAGAACUUGCAACCGCACGUGAAGACGUCCACGGAUGCAGGAUGCAGAUGAACGCGGUUGUUUGAAAUACGAAAGAAGAUUACGUAGGCUUCAGAUUCGGCCAGGGAGAGCAGCAGGCGUGAGAGGUGAGGUCCCAGGCAGCGGGAGAGCCGGACGUGGUAGUGGCCCCUCCUUGCUGUUGCUUGUCUGCCUUCAGUGCAGACCAUCGCUCAGGCGCCCACCUGCCUUCCUUCCUUCUGCUUUGGAUGGAUGGGUGCUGUAAGGAGGCCACUGCCUCGCUCUUAAUGAAAGAUCUCUGUAUUUGAAGUCAUUCUCUAAGCCAUUCCAUAGCCGAAUCUCCCCUUGCGUAUCAUAUUUCUCCUGUGGUAAGAAGCUGUCAAGUUUGUGUCGUCUCUAGUUUCCUUCUCUGGACACCUCUGCUUUUCAAAUCCUUUUACAUCCAGCUGAGUUAACUCUAGAUUUACAAAAACUAGUGUUGCGUAUACGCUAGGGAGAGUUGUUACUUCCAAGUCCUCAGAUUUUCAUUUCUGUUAUCAUCACUGCUAGAUUUUAUUUGCUUUUCAGUCAACUCCAAAUGCCAGGGCCUCUUCGGCCACAUUUCCCACUAAUUAAUUUUAUGUUCCUUUGUAGAGAACUCUAAUAUUUACUACUUUACAAUUUGUUAAUGACUAUAAGCUAAUAGGUCUUUGUGCUCUAGUACAUUAUAAUACUCAAUUAUUUUCUUAUCAGGGGCUCAUGAUUGAGGAGUGUGCUAGGUGCUAGAGAGACAGAUGAGCAGAACUAGCAGCUGGAAACACACAGGAUUCAUUUGAAGGCUGAAAUGAUACAAACAGUCAUCCUCUUCCAGCAAACCUUUCAUUAUUUUCCCUUGUAGUCUUUGGUGUUCCUCUAGGAGAGAGAAUGUCCCAGCCCCUUAAGCUGUAUUUCUGUGUCUACUGAAGUAUGGGGUUAGCGAAAGGAAGGCCAGUUUUACCUCCACUAAUCCAAGGAGGCGAUCGGUUGGAGGAAAAUGGAUUAAGAUAGAUUCAUUUUCAAAUCCUGGAUCAAUAAGCCUCUAACAAUAUAACCUUGAGCAAAUUCCUCUGCUUCCCUGAAACUCUAUUUCUUCAGUGGUAAAAUGUAAUUCCCGUGUGCAGGAUUUCUGUGAGAAUCGUGCAAUAUAUGUCAAGUGCCUGCGUGGGUGGGUUCCCAAAUUAGCAGGCGCUGGCCAAAGACCCUGUCUCUGGAUGUCAGCUAGUGCUGUCUAUUUUAAAUCACUAGUGAUUCUGAGUUGAAUGUUAGUAUUGGAACGCUUAAGCCAAAAUAGUUUUUUUAUCAGCCUUAUUUUUUAUGU